GACGAACGCUGGCGGCGUGCCUAAUACAUGCAAGUCGAGCGCAGGAAACUGACGGAACUCUUCGGAGGGAAGGCAGUGGAAUGAGCGGCGGACGGGUGAGUAACACGUAAGGAACCUGCCUCAAGGAUUAGGAUGACUCCGAGAAAUCGGAGCUAAUACCGGAUAGUUCAACGGACCCCAUGGUCCGUUGAUGAAAGGCGCUCCGGCGUCACCUUGAGAUGGCCUUGCGGUGCAUUAGCUAGUUGGUGGGGUAACGGCUCACCAAGGCGACGAUGCAUAGCCGACCUUAGAGGGUGAUCGGCCACACUGGGACUGAGACACGGCCCAGACUCCUACGGGAGGCAGCAGUAGGGAAUCUUCCACAAUGGACGAAAGUCUGAUGGAGCAACGCCGCGUGAGUGAUGAAGGUUUUCGGAUCGUAAAACUCUGUUGUAAGGGAAGAACACGUACGAGAGGAAAUGCUCGUACCUUAACGGUACCUUACGAGAAAGCCACGGCUAACUACGUGCCAGCAGCCGCAGUAA
rnacentral:rRNA from 1 species